ACUCCUACGGGAGGCAGCAGUAGGGAAUCUUCCGCAAUGGACGAAAGUCUGACGGAGCAACGCCGCGUGAGUGAUGAAGGCCUUCGGGUCGUAAAGCUCUGUUGUUAGGGAAGAACAAGUGCAAGAGUAACUGCUUGCACCUUGACGGUACCUAACCAGAAAGCCACGGCUAACUACGUGCCAGCAGCCGCGGUAAUACGUAGGUGGCAAGCGUUGUCCGGAAUUAUUGGGCGUAAAGGGCUCGCAGGCGGUCCUUUAAGUCUGAUGUGAAAGCCCCCGGCUCAACCGUGGAGGGUCAUUGGAAACUGGGAAACUUGAGUACAGAAGAGGAAAGUGGAAUUCCACGUGUAGCGGUGAAAUGCGUAGAGAUGUGGAGGAACACCAGUGGCGAAGGCGACUCUCUGGUCUGUAACUGACGCUGAGGAGCGAAAGCGUGGGGAGCGAACAGGAUUAGAUACCCUGGUAGUCCACGCCGUAAACGAUGAGUGCUAAGUGUUAGGGGGUUUCCGCCCCUUAGUGCUGCAGCUAACGCAUUAAGCACUCCGCCUGGGGAGUACGGUCGCAAGACUGAAACUCAAAGGAAUUGACGGA
rnacentral:rRNA from 1 species